AUGCAAGUCGAACGAACUCUGGUAUUGAUUGGUGCUUGCAUCAUGAUUUACAUUUGAGUGAGUGGCGAACUGGUGAGUAACACGUGGGAAACCUGCCCAGAAGCGGGGGAUAACACCUGGAAACAGAUGCUAAUACCGCAUAACAACUUGGACCGCAUGGUCCGAGUUUGAAAGAUGGCUUCGGCUAUCACUUUUGGAUGGUCCCGCGGCGUAUUAGCUAGAUGGUGGGGUAACGGCUCACCAUGGCAAUGAUACGUAGCCGACCUGAGAGGGUAAUCGGCCACAUUGGGACUGAGACACGGCCCAAACUCCUACGGGAGGCAGCAGUAGGGAAUCUUCCACAAUGGACGAAAGUCUGAUGGAGCAACGCCGCGUGAGUGAAGAAGGGUUUCGGCUCGUAAAACUCUGUUGUUAAAGAAAAACCUAUCUGAGAAUAACUGUUCCGGUAUUGCUGGUGUUUAACCAGAAAGCCACCGC
rnacentral:rRNA from 2 species